rnacentral:lncRNA from 1 species
GCGCAUGAAAAUGCAUGUUUGUGUACUUUGUGCGUGUUUGUGUCUGAGCCAUGAGCAUGUUUAUAUGUGUGUAUACCUUACAUGUGUGAGUACAACCUGUUUAUCAUCUGUCAGUCUGUGUUCUUGUAUGUGUAUUUGUGUAGGUAUUCUUUAGUUGACUGUGAGUAAGUGGGUAGGUUUGUGUGCGUACGUUCGCGGGUAUGUUUGCCUCGCGUGUUUAUUUGUUUGAGCGCUUUUGGGCGCGCGCGUGUUUGUGUGUGCGGUCUUCGUGUGAACGCGUAUUUUCGUGAAUGUGCGUGUGUGUUUUUGCGCAAACGUAAAGCUCCUUAUGAUUAUCCAACAGUCACCUCAGAGCCGCGAGCUGGCGCACAUUCUCUGUCUUAUAUUUAGACGCGGGAUACAUCAACUCCCAUGUGUCAUGCCGCGCAAGUUCAAAAACAGUCUUCUGACAAGAGAACACACAAUGCACAAAGAUACAGAGGACAAACAGAAGAAACACCUGCCAAUGCAAAUGUGUGGCGUCAUGCUGCUGUGGCUAUGAGGUGGUUGAACGACACUGUUCUAUGGGGAGCCCAGGGGGAAACACAGGCAGAGCCAAAAGAGCAGCUUCACACAAUUGACUUGACACCAGAAAUGCUGCACUUUCAUCAUUGGGAUGACGAAAACCCUGCAGAAUAACUGGACCGAGGUCAAAGUAACAGAGAGACUCGUUAAGGCGCAUUGUGACAGAACUGAAUAGAGUUCUGUUACAAGGAUCAGAUGUCAUCGGAUCACCACCUUGAUUAGGGAGUUCACGAGUGCGUGCACACACACACAGACAUAUACAGUCAAGAGCGAGACAAAAGAAACAAACCAU